rnacentral:tRNA from 1 species
CAGGGAGACAACAAAAUGUUAAAUAUUAAUUUUGUCACCUUAGGUCGAUCGGUAUCUCAUGUUCUUAAUUAUUUUAAGAAUUUCAUUUCCUAAGUUUUUUCUAGGUCACACCCAUUACUUUUCCUGGGCCAUUAGCUCAGGUGGUUAGAGCGCACCCCUGAUAAGGGUGAGGUCCCUGGUUCAAGUCCAGGAUGGCCCAUAUCUCUAUGUUGGGGGUAUAGCUCAGUUGGUAGAGCGCCUGCUUUGCAAGCAGGAUGUCAGCGGUUCGAGUCCGCUUACCUCCACUGAUUACCACCUCUUACAUAAAUUUAAAGAAGGGAAUUGUUAAUAUAGGUGAUUUAGUUCUGAACGAAUCUAGCUUCCUAAUAAAUACAUUAAGAUGCUGGACUCAUUGAAUUUUAUUCAUUGUUUUCAGAGAACCUUGACAACUGCAUAGAUUAUUUUUAAAGACAAUAAGCAUCUUUAAUGAUGCAGAUUUAUUAUUUGUGCUAAUGCAUUAAUAACAAUUCUAUUGAGCUGAUGCUUCAAUUUUUUGAAGUUAUU